rnacentral:rRNA from 1 species
UGAACGCUAGCUACAGGCUUAACACAUGCAAGUCGAGGGGCAGCGGGAUUGAAGCUUGCUUCAAUUGCCGGCGACCGGCGCACGGGUGAGUAACGCGUAUCCAACCUUCCGUACACUCAGGGAUAGCCUUUCGAAAGAAAGAUUAAUACCUGAUGGUAUGAUGAGAUUGCAUGAUAGCAUCAUUAAAGAUUUAUCGGUGUACGAUGGGGAUGCGUUCCAUUAGGUAGUAGGCGGGGUAACGGCCCACCUAGCCAACGAUGGAUAGGGGUUCUGAGAGGAAGGUCCCCCACAUUGGAACUGAGACACGGUCCAAACUCCUACGGGAGGCAGCAGUGAGGAAUAUUGGUCAAUGGACGAGAGUCUGAACCAGCCAAGUAGCGUGAAGGAUGACUGCCCUAUGGGUUGUAAACUUCUUUUAUACGGGAAUAAAGUGAGCCACGUGUGGCUUUUUGUAUGUACCGUAUGAAUAAGGAUCGGCUAACUCCGUG